rnacentral:rRNA from 1 species
UACGGAGGGUGCAAGCGUUAAUCGGAAUUACUGGGCGUAAAGCGCACGCAGGUGGCUGAGUCAGUCGAUUGUGAAAGCCCUGGGCUUAACCUGGGAAUUGCAGUCGAUACUACUCAGCUAGAGUAUGGGAGAGGGUAGUGGAAUUCCCGGUGUAGCGGGUGAAAUGCGUAGAUAUCGGGAGGAAUACCGGUGGCGAAGGCGGCAUCCUGGACCGGCAUUGACGCUGAGGAGCGAAAGCCAGGGGAGCAAA